CCCAAGCACAGAGUGUGCUCAGGGUCCUAUUCUUCACAACAGCCUUCCUUUCACUGCCUGCUCAGCAAGCAGAAAAGGUUAACAUUUCCAUCUUCCGUCCUAAGGAGAUGCCUGCUGGGACUUGGUCUCAGGCAUGAGUCUUUUCUUCCUCCUUCCUGGGAGGGGUUGGAACUAAGCCUCAAAGCAGAGUAGCUGACAACGUGGCGUGGGAGAGGCUUGGAUGUGUCGCUGGAGAGAAACAUUCUUGCCACCCCCACCCUAAAGAGGCUGCGGGGACAGGCAGCCCAGCCCUCCUGGCCUAUUUUCGGGCUGGAGAGAGGUUCAGUCUCAGGCACAGUUUUGGGAGGCAGAUCAGCCUCCCUGUUCCGGCCUCCCACUCCCAUGGAGCUCUCUGCUGCCUCUUCCAAGGGGCCGCAGAUACCCGUUCCUUGCUCUAUUUCUUCACCAGCCCUACCUGUUCUCAGUCCAUUACCUCAUGGCCCUGCUCUCUGCUUACUAAAGUGACAAUUCGUCUAUAAGGAAGCCCUUGCACUGUAGCUGAGGAUUCGCGAGGCUGCACCCUCAGCAGGCACUGUGGCCACACAGCACUGGCCUGAGAUCUGAGUUCCUGGAGCCUCGGCCCUGAGGCCCAUGGCCAUAGAACAAGCCAUUUUCAACAAAAGGACUUGCAAAUUCCUGCCUUAGGGCUCCUUCUGCACAGGACAGACCUUUCAUCACCAACCCAACUUGUAAUCUUGGGUAAAGAAGGUUCUCAGCUCAUUUUCAAGAAGAAAAAAAAAAUGGAAGGAGCUAGCAGCCCCAAAGUACUUCCACUGAAGCCUUUGGAAAAGAGGGAAGACUCCAAGUCUCUGGCACCUGCAGAAGAGGGGAAUCUUGAGAAGUAGCUGACGCUCCGAGUUUACAUGUCCCCUUGGUGAGAUUUCUUACAGCAGAACAUGACGUUCUUCCCACCCCCAGGAUGCAAACCACUUUAAAAGAAUGUUAUACUUUGCUCUGCGUGGCCAAAUACCACAAACACCACUUGAUUUUAAAAUUAUGUAGUCUUGGUAUUCCAAAGCCAACGUGCACCACCAUGCAAGAACAGAUGCGGUCUCUGAAGGCAAAAGCCCCAGGCAGUGCUUAAGUCUCAAAAAAGAGUUGUCAUGUCAUCCUCAACUUGAGAUGUUUGCUUGGCAAGCAUUUUUUACUCUCUGGAGGAAAUUUUGUUUACAGGAUUUAACAGUUACACACACAAACACACACACACACACACACACACACACACACAAUUACUCAUUGUUCAGCUGCAGAACAAAGGUCAGCUCUUGGCACGCAGUAGUUUUCCAAUUCCUGAUCCUUUUUGAUUUUCAAUGUGCCCAUCAGCAGACAUGUAAUUUUAUCUUAAGACAGCCAAGUGCAAAGCAUGAGACAAUAGGCAGAAAUCUUGUAAAUAACUAUCAAACAGAAAUAAUCCUUUCAGCUGACGAGGGAAAGCCUCCUUUGUUCCAUUUUAAUGAUGUUUAUAUAAAUUUUAGUAUGCAUAUUCA